CUUCUUAAAAAAAAAAAACAUAAGUCAACUAAGGCCAAUUUGCAUAAAAAAUUCACUUAUUUUGGCCUUUUGCAAAAUCGGGCUAUCUUUUUCGUUUUUGCAAAUUUGGUUCGCUUUUUCAGCAAACUGACCAAAAUACUCUUAUUACUUUUUCUCUUUCCUCUUUCUCUCUUCUCUUCGUUCUCUCGUUCUUUUUUUUUUUUUUCGC
rnacentral:lncRNA from 1 species